GCACAGCUACUCGGUGAGAUUUGAUUUGGCAGAGAGUGUGAAGCCUUGUACUCAUAUGAGAAAGCAGGCGAGAGAUCAGAGGGGGAAAAACUAAUAACUACAGGUACAACUAAGAAUGGUGCACAGCUUGGGAACGGUUGGAGGGAACAUGUAUCUGCAAAAUUGUCUGAAACACAAAAUUGAGAGGGGAUGUAAUUGUACCCUUGAUUGGAGCUAAUGAAGUCAGAAGGUAGUACCAAAUUGCCAGUCCAUGGUAUCCGCAAAGCUUUUCUCCAGCACCACAUUCCAAAGGAGUUGAUUUUUCUCUUAUCCGCUUUUUUCACUGUCCAAGUUGGGAUCUACUUGAAGGCAGUCCAUUUCCAUUUUCUUUCCCCCAAAAAUACUUGUGCAUGAUUUGCUGAUGUAGAUAUCCUGGUGAAAUUUUAGCAGUUGAAUUUCAUUGGGAAAGGCAUCCAGCUUGGAAGAAAAUUGGCUACAUAGGAACACAAGAAGACACCAUAGUAUAUGGGGAAAAUGGCUAAACCUCCAACAGACAACAUAAGGGCACACCUCUUCCCCAUUUCCAGUCAGCACAUCUGUGGCUUCUGAGCUUUGAUUUAGACUGUAUGCAAUAGACUCCUGGUUUUCUGCUUUUCCCUUGCAUAUCUGUACAUAUACCAGAGGAAUGCUUCAUACUUUUUGAAGGGAGAAGGCAUAUCAAGAUACACUAGAUUACCAAGGAGCUGUAGUGGUCAUAGUUCCCCAUGAUGCAUCUGUCAUGCGUCUUCUGAGAUGUGUAACUUUUGAGAUGUAAUUAGAGACUCAUGUUGUGCUGGUACAUAAAGUCUGCAUUG